UGAGCAUUGAGAAAAGAUUGUUGCUGAUGUAGAGUUUUGUAACGGUGGACCCCACAGUCCAUGACAGAAACAAAUAGGACAGAAAAUUCCAUCUUCAUCACUAACAAAAGAAAAGGCAUAUUUCUAGAUUGGCUUAACGCGUGCAGUCUGCUGUCCCGCAAAUAUUUAUUUCAUUCUGAUCUACCUUUUUUCUGUCUAGCGUCACAAGUGUGGAGGAGGAGCCAGAGAGUGUCUACGAGCUGGUGGGGGCGGUGGCAGUGGUCCGUUGACAUCACAAAUAUGGGGAAGGAGACGUUUCUCGAAGGAUUGUCCACAAGGGGACCGUGGCGGUGGUGGAAGUCGUACCUGCCAUGCGGUAAAAAAAAAACAAGAAAACAUUUGUAGUGUUCGUUUUUAACGAAGAAGAGGGCCAUGUAGCAAGGGAUUUUCCUCAAGGAGGAUGCAAUGGGUUCGUUGUUUUACCCCUAAAGUCAUGAAGCUGGUUACACCUCGAAAGGCUGUCCGAAUCUAUUCAGUGAAUUGAUGGGAGAUGUAGAGCCGCGUAAGCAAUACAUUCCGGAAGCUGUGACAUGCGAUGAAAAGGAACUCUUUAAGGGCAUCGUCUGUGGGAAACACUUUAACAAUUCUGAUAUAGUUGUUCUUUCAAAAAACAAAAAAAAACUGGACUGGCAUGGGUUGAUGGACCCGAAACCCGCUUUCAUUGUUAAGGUUUCAUUCAGGGCAUAGCUCAGGUUUUAAACAGGUGGUUGCAUGGACAUUUCAUGGCACUGUUCAUACCAAAUUGGCCGCGAUGUUGCAUCGAGCAGCCUUCACGGAUUUGUCCCAAUAACUUUGGAUGUCGAAGCUUCUCGAAUUUCUGCUUGAUAGAAAUGGUGAUGCAACACAAUAGUGAAAUGGAAAGAACAGACUUUCUUACAUAAUUGCCAGUUAAUUGUUGCAGCUGUUUGUUCAAGGAAAAUCCAUUUGUUGAAGAAAUUUUAGAAACGCACAAUAAGAUAACGGACGUCAAGUGCAAGUAACCAGCCAUUGCAUCACCCAAGACGUAUACUGAUUUAACCCCGGCGACUGUAUCACCGAUUUAUGGCACAAUUUGAAAGUGCUGGUAAACUUUUCAUUUCUAGGUUAGGUGAGGGAAGAAAGUGGAUCCUACGUUUUUGCUGUAGGUGUGUGCCUGAACUGAAGUUAAAGGCAGGAACUGAAGUAGAAGAAGGGCAACCUAUUCGAAUCUGCCCGACGACGAUAUCGAUGAUCCUCAGGCCACAACAGUCCAUAAUUUUCACGAUCUUGAGUUUCCAAAAAGCUCAGCUGCUCAAUAAGACAUGGAUAGCUGAAAAGAAUUCAGCAACUAAUGAUGAAGAACGCGAACCACCAGCUCAGACGAGACGAAGAUGUGAGUUUGUUUUGAACAACAAAGUCCCGUUGUGGAACGAACACAGUCAAGUUUAUCAGUUGGACUUUGGAGGGAGAGUGACCCAAGAAUCUGCGAAAAAAUUUUCAGAUUGAAUUCUGAGGAAAACAGGUUAUGCAGUUUAGCAGAAUCGAUGGGAAUGCCUACACGUUAGAUUUUCAGUAUCCUUUCUCAGCUGUCCAGGCUUUUGCUGUGGCAUUGGUGACUCAACGAUUGAAAUAAAAAUGGAAUUUGGAUAAAUCUGUCCAGAGAUGGUCAAUGUGAUAUGAAACAUUCGUAUCUGAGAAUUUAUUCCACGUGUCAUUCCUUUAUUUAUUAUGAAAGUUUUAAAUACAC